rnacentral:rRNA from 1 species
AUGCAGUCGAACGGAAAGGCCCUUCGGGGUACUCGAGUGGCGAACGGGUGAGUAACACGUGGGUGAUCUGCCCUGCACUUUGGGAUAAGCCUGGGAAACUGGGUCUAAUACCGAAUAUGACCAUGCGCCUCCUGGUGUGUGGUGGAAAGCUUUUGCGGUGUGGGAUGGGCCCGCGGCCUAUCAGCUUGUUGGUGGGGUAAUGGCCUACCAAGGCGACGACGGGUAGCCGGCCUGAGAGGGUGACCGGCCACACUGGGACUGAGAUACGGCCCAGACUCCUACGGGAGGCAGCAGUGGGGAAUAUUGCACAAUGGGCGCAAGCCUGAUGCAGCGACGCCGCGUGAGGGAUGACGGCCUUCGGGUUGUAAACCUCUUUCAGCACAGACGAAGCGCAAGUGACGGUAUGUGCAGAAGAAGGACCGGCCAACUACGUGCCAGCAGCCGCGGUAAUACGUAGGGUCCGAGCGUUGUCCGGAAUUACUGGGCGUAAAGAGCUCGUAGGUGGUUUGUCGCGUUGUUCGUGAAAACUCACAGCUUAACUGUGGGCGUGCGGGCGAUACGGGCAGACUUGAGUACUGCAGGGGAGACUGGAAUUCCUGGUGUAGCGGUGGAAUGCGCAGAUAUCAGGAGGAACACCGGUGGCGAAGGCGGGUCUCUGGGCAGUAACUGACGCUGAGGAGCGAAAGCGUGGGGAGCGAACAGGAUUAGAUACCCUGGUAGUCCACGCCGUAAACGGUGGGUACUAGGUGUGGGUUUCCUUCCUUGGGAUCCGUGCCGUAGCUAACGCAUUAAGUACCCCGCCUGGGGAGUACGGCCGCAAGGCUAAAACUCAAAGAAAUUGACGGGGGCCCGCACAAGCGGCGGA